rnacentral:rRNA from 1 species
GACGAACGCUGGCGGCGUGCUUAACACAUGCAAGUCGAACGGAAAGGCCCUGCUUUUGUGGGGUGCUCGAGUGGCGAACGGGUGAGUAACACGUGAGUAACCCGUCCCUGACUUAGGGAUAACUUCAGGAAACUGGGGCUAAUAUCGGAUAGGAGCUUUUGCAGCAUGGUGGGGGCUGGAAAGUUUCGGUGGUUGGGGAUGGACUCGCGGCUUAUCAGCUUGUUGGUGGGGUAGUGGCUUACCAAGCCUUUGACGGGUAGCCGGCCUGAGAGGGUGACCGGCCACAUUGGGACUGAGAUACGGCCCAGACGCGUACGGGAGGCAACAGUGGGGAGUAUUGCACAAUGGGCGGGAGCCUGAUGCAGCAACGCCGCGUGCGGGAUGACGGCCUUCGGGUUGUAAACCGCUUUCGCCUGUGACGAGGCGUGAGUGACGGUAAUGGGUAAAGAAGCACCGGCUAACUACGUG